AGGGUACCUAUUUUAGAUGUGGAAAAGAGAGUUAUAGGAAUGGUGACUCGAACUGACAUAUUCCAAGCAUUGGAGGCACAGAAGGUAGAGUCCGUUUCUUAGAGCACGUCCACCAGCUAUGUAUUAAAUGAGUGCGAUGCUUUUGUUCUUGUAUAAUCCGUGUGUCAGCAUUUACUGUGAUAGAACUACUGUUCUUUCGGAAUACUAUGCAACUGCUUUGCAUGGGUUAUGUCGUCGUAUAUAGAUUGUCAUGCUGUAUUAGUGUCAGAACUUUUUUUGGCUGGGUAAGUUAUAUUAUAUGAUGCUUGACAUAUGCUUUUGGGUUAAAGAAGCUAAAUUAGUUGCAGCA